rnacentral:lncRNA from 1 species
UUUUAUUUAUUACUUAUAAAGCCCUAAUGACAUUUAUAUAAGCAAAAGUAUUUUUACUUAUUUCAUUUUGAAAUGAUUCAACUCCUAAAAGCUCACACUUUGGAGGAUUUGAAUUUACAAAUUUUCUGAAGUUUAUUUGGACUUAUUUGGAGUUAGGAAUCAAAUGUUAUUAAUAAAAACAGAAAAAAAAAUAAGAGAAUGGACCGACCCAAACUGGGCCGGCCCAUCUCCCCUCAGCCCAGCCGAGCGAGCACCAGCUCGUCUUCCUCCUCUGCACGCACGAAAGGAAAGCCCCUCCAUGAUUCCCUCCUUUGAUUUCUUUUCUUCCAGCGUGUUUUUCUUCGAAAGGAAACCAUCUCAUCAAUCCCCCCAUCCCAAGAACCGAUUCAGGCAAUUAAUUUGACGUUUCCUCUCUUAAUGGCCUUUUCCAAAAGAGGCGCCCCGAAUGUCGCUCGGUGGCAUCCCGCGCCCGAUCUCCCUCCUCGGCCAGUACAAGAAGAUUCUGAGCGCGUCACUUCGAGCCUUUGCCUCUCCUCUCCCAUUCCCAUGUAGAAAGUUUAGCCUCUAGCCCUCUGUA